CUUAUGACCUGCUCCAGAGCCUGUGCACUCGCUGACCCUGCCACCUGGCACGCCCUGCCCCUGUCCUUCCCACUCCCUCUUGUGAGUCAGUCACAGCUCAAUACCACCAGGGAGGCCCUCCCUCUCCUCCCACCGUAAAGUAGGAACCCAAUCUUCACUUUGUCCCAAGAUCAUCAAAGCAGAGACCGUAUCCAAAGGAAUCUUUUUUGUAUUUACUUUUUUUUUUUUUUUUGAGACAGAGUCUCCUCUGUCACCCAGGCUAGAGCGCAGUGGUGCGAUCUCGGCUCACGGCAUGAGCCACGGCGCCCGGCCUUGUGUUUACUUUUUUUGUUUUUUUUGUCUCCCUUUGUGAACCCAGAAAAUCUGAGACAGUUCUCUGUUAAUUUAGAAAGUUUUUUUUGGCCUGGUGCGGUGGCU
rnacentral:lncRNA from 1 species